rnacentral:lncRNA from 1 species
UCAGGGGAGACCCCCCUNNNNNNNNNNNNNNNNNNNNNCUCUGGCAGUUUGAAGCCAUUCCCCCUUGUCCUGUCCCUCCAUCCCUUGUCCCCAGUCCCUCUCCAGCUCUCCUGGAGCCCCUUUAGGCCCUGGAAGGGGCUCUCAGGUCUCCCUGGAGCCUCCUCUUCUCCAGGUGAACACUCCCAGCCUGGCUCCAGGGCAGAGGGGCUCCAGCCCUGGGAUCUUCUUCCCGGCCCUAAUGCUGCCCUGGGAGCCAGGAUGGAACAGCUGAGGUGCCACUGGCAUUUCUGCUUGGGAUUUGACUUUAAUCCAGGCACUGUGACUGAUCCAUCCCAUCUGCUCCCUUCUUAUUUUCCACAGUUUGGAGCACGUGAGGAGCUGCCAGAGGAAUCACUGAUGUUUUCAUUUCAGCUUUGUCAGAUGAUCCCUCCCCGCUGUGUGACUUCAGGAGCGUGACGCGUGUGCCGGAGUCGGUGUCACCCCGCGGCCGAGAUGGUGGCAUUCAACUGGAAGGUGAGGCUGCUCCACAUUCCUAAAGCUGCUGUGUCUGUAAAAAUCUGUGAAAUCUCUGCUUUUGCUUUGAUUCAGAACAAAAAUUUCUCUACUCUUCCAAUAGAAAAUAAUUACGGAGAGAAAGUCACCUUUCCCCGUGUCCUUUUCCAGGAGAUUCACUGGGGAGUUCCAAAUUCCACUGGAUAAUAAGGUGAUAAUCUCCAAAAGAGAGCAGCCUCCAGCCUGCUGGACGUGACAGAAGUGCCUUGCACUGCACACUUUGUGUGUAUAUUCAGGGAAAAGCUCAAUCUAAUCUCACCUGGAAAGUCAAAUAUUGGCCGAGAGCUCCCGUCAGUCAUCCCGUGGGAUGCUGGGAACGACUCUUUGUGCCAGUUGUUGGGAAUUCCUGUGUUUUAAAAGCAUUUCUGUGCUUUCCUGGGGGUGGAUGGAGAUGCAGCUCCGUGUCUGGUGACCCAGAGGGGAGAAGGGGGAAGAUGAGCUCUGUGAAAUAAUAAGAGGAAUGAUUAAGAAUUAGAAUUCUUAAUUCCUGUGAGGAAGCACAGGGAACUCCUAAAGCAGGGAAUUCCUGAAGCAGGGAAUUGCUAAAGCAGGGAAUUGCUGCUGUUCCCAGCAGUGGGUGGGUUCUGUGUUGGAAGGGGGUCUCCUUGCCCAGGGCAGGGGUUGUUUUCCCCCCACACUCCCGGGGGUUUGUCGUUGUCCUUCCUUGCUCCGGGUGGUCUCUGUGGCCCCCAGGAUUUGCUGUUGGGACACUUCAGCCCCGGGCACUGCUCUGUCCUCCUGCCUUCCCUCUUCCCAGGCUUUUCCCUCAGCUCCUUCUGUCCCUGCAGGGGGUUUUCCCCACUGUGUGUUUUGGGGUUUUGGGGCCACAAAGACUCUGCAGGGUUGUGUGUGAGGCCCAGCAAUGGUUGAGGGUCCUCGUGCAGUGACCUCUUGGAGGCCACCU